UACGGAGGAUGCAAGCGUUAUCCGGAAUGAUUGGGCGUAAAGCGUCCGCAGGUGGCUGUGUAAGUCUGCUGUUAAAGAGUCUAGCUCAACUAGAUACAAGCAGUGGAAACUACACGGCUAGAGUACGUUCGGGGCAGAGGGAAUUCCUGGUGUAGCGGUGAAAUGCGCAGAUAUCAGGAGGAACACCGAUGGCGAAGGCAGUGAUCUGGGCCAGUACUGACGCUGAGGAGCGAAAGCGUGGGUAGCAAACAGG
rnacentral:rRNA from 1 species